UCACAGGUCCCUUCAGAAGUGCCACUUCAC
rnacentral:piRNA from 2 species